UCCGGGGUCGUCUAAUGGUAGGACUUCACUCUUUGGAAGUGAAUAUUUUGGUUCGAAUCCAAGCCCCGGAA
rnacentral:tRNA from 2 species